rnacentral:rRNA from 1 species
CAGUCGCCGCGGUAAUACGAAGGGGGCUAGCGUUGUUCGGAAUUACUGGGCGUAAAGGGCGCGUAGGCGGCCAUUCAAGUUAGAUGUGAAAGCCCUGGGCUCAACCUAGGAAUUGCAUUUGAUACUGUUUGGCUUGAGUUCGGGAGAGGUGAGUGGAACUGCGAGUGUAGAGGUGAAAUUCGUAGAUAUUCGCAAGAACACCAGUGGCGAAGGCGGCUCACUGGCUCGAAACUGACGCUGAGGCACGAAAGCGUGGGGAGCAAACAGGAUUAGAUACCCCUGUAGUCCCUGUCUCUUAUAC